UACGGAGGGUGCGAGCGUUGUCCGGAAUCACUGGGCGUAAAGGGCGCGUAGGUGGCGCGGCAAGUCAACGGUGAAAGCUCGACGCUCAACGUCGAGUUGGCCGUCGAUACUGCCGCGCUGGAGCACUGUAGAGGCUCAUGGAAUUCCGGGUGUAGCGGUGGAAUGCGUAGAGAUCCGGAAGAACACCGGUGCGAAGGCGGUGAGCUGGGCAGUUGCUGACACUGAGGCGCGACAGCGUGGGGAGCAAACAGG
rnacentral:rRNA from 1 species